AUUGAACGCUGGCGGCAGGCCUAACACAUGCAAGUCGAGCGAGCGGCGGACGGGUGAGUAAUGUAUGGGGACUGCCCGAUAGAGGGGGAUAACUACUGGAAACGGUGGCUAAUACCGCAUACUAUCGGAUAACCCAUAUGGGAUUAGCUAGUAGGUGGUGGAAAGGCUCACCUAGGCGACGAUCCCUAGCUGGUUGGAGAGGAGGAUCGUCCACACGGGGACGGAGACACGGCCCAGACUCCUACGGGGGCAGCAGUGGGGAAGAUUGCACAAGGGGCGCAAGCCUGAUGCAGCCAUGCCGCGUGUAUGAAGAAGGCCUUCGGGUUGUAAAGUACUUUCAGCGGGGAGGCGUUACCCGCAGAAGAAGCACCGGCUAACUCCGUGCCAGCAGCCGCGGUAAUUC
rnacentral:rRNA from 1 species